CCAACCCCAAUCUCAAUAGCUCACCUCUGUUUCAUCUCAGAAUUUCAUUUUAAUAGCUUCAAGUCCUUCUUGCUCUUCUUGCCUUGCUCCCCAAAGCCAUGGUAUGUAUAUUUGAUCAUCACGCAAACUCCUUUGGGCUCUCAAAUUGAUUUCUAUUUGUAACUUUUUUCCUUUCUUUUCUGUGUGUUUUUUUUUCCUUUGUGAUGCAGUCUCUUACACCAGUGAUGUUUAGGUCACUGAUGAGGCUACUAACAUCUCUAAUUGGAGAGCCAGCUGCUUCAGUCUCAACCUUGCUUUACUACAGUGAGCUUCUGCCUCAGAAUAUCAUCUUGGAAAGAUUAGUUCGACAUGAAUUGCUCGAUCGAGAAAACUAUUUGUUCCAUUUCCUCAUCAACUUCUUGAGAUGUUUUUGGUAGGUAGGAACCAACAACCAUAUAGACAACAAUAGACUCAGUAUUUCCCAUAGCAGAGUCGACUUUAUUUCUUAUGCAUUUUUGUAAACCAUUAUUUCUUGGUGGCUGACUGGUGAGAGUUUAAAUUGUAAAAUCUGUGAUUUGUGAUCAUAAUGAGAUAUAUU
rnacentral:lncRNA from 1 species